UUCUGUCACCUGAAACAGGAAAACAGUUUUAUUUAAAGUAAAUAAAAUUGAAAGUCUUGCUGUGACAUGGACUGUGUGUUCUCUGACACAAAAGUUCUCACAUUAGAAGACCAACCAGAAGACAAACUCUGGAAUAUUGACAAGAGCUCUAUAAAAAUGCAAUAAAAGUCAAGUUUAUGAGUUUUUAUAUAGCUUCAAAGAGAAACUGUUUAUCAAUGCUGAAGUUCCACAAGCAAGUAAAAUUGGUUUUCUUUCAAAAAAGAAAGUAAAAUGAAGGCAUAAUGUAAUAUUUAGGAAUAUUUACAUAGCCAAAAAUACAUAAAUGUAGUACCUUACAUUUAUUUUGACAUUCAGGUUCAAUACUCAGGAUUUAAUAUCUGAAGAUAUGACAUUUAACAUAUGUUACUGUAAUAGACCCAUGUGUGUUUUCAAUUAUCUACAUACAGUCAGCACAAAACAUAUUUUUAUAUACGAGAUUAUUUUUCUUCUGAUUUUGCAUGCCUCGAUUUUGAAAUGUAUUUUUGAAUAUUUUGAACAUUCCCAACUCCCUGAUGAGAGCUGGACUGGAUACUUCCCCAGGAAUGGGGUCUUUUUACACUCCAGGGUAAAAGAGAGUAAAGGCUUCAGUGUAACUGGGGAAGGGGGAAGAGAGAAGUACAGUGGAAGACGAUUUUGGUCAAAUAUUUCUUUUACAAACAUAACAUUCUUCAAUAUAGCUUGUAAGUAGAACAUGAAAUCGAUUGCUAUAAACCCCUAAAAGUUAUAUAUUGGAAUAGUUACCUUAAGUCAUUUUAUUCUCUACCUCUUUAUGAAUGAUGCCACUAUCCAUACCUCAAAAUUACAAAGAAUUUCUUCAUAACAGGAAAUGAGCUGAACAACUCAGCUUUAUAAAUACCUGGAAAAUAGAGAUUGCUGUAAAAAUAAUGCUGCAUUCUGAUGAGUUUUAACUUGCAGCUUUUAUUUUGAUGACCUUUAAAAAUUUCAUGUAAGUAACUGAAACUCAGUCUUUAUCAACAUUUUAGGAAUGUGGUGUAUGGAAUCUGUGAAUUCCACCAGUGCCCUUAAAUUCCACAAACCGAGUGAGGUUCCAGAGUACCCUGCAGCAAAGAUGGAUCAGAGAACAGCUAUUUGCUGAAUCUUUUCAAAAAGGCAGACUUUUCACCUAAGGACAGAGUUUGCCUUUCAGGCAAAAGCCUCUGUAAGUUGUGAUUUGUCCAUGUUGGUAAAAACCCAAGGAAUUCUGAUGGAAUUGUGUAGUACUGGGGUGGCAGGUGUGUGAAAAGUGACAAAAUUCAAGGCCAAAGUUUGAAAUGUUUGUGCAUUGAGAAGGAAAUAAUUUUCACAGUCUACACCAAUUCCCUUGAUCCAGUGGACUGAUGUUCCAUCAGUAUCCUGCUUUCUUCAUGCCCCAGUCAAGGUAGAAUGGGAAAAUACAGUUUUGUGCUCUCUGUGAGAAGAGCACAUGUUCAGAAAGAACCUGACUUUUGCUCUGGCCUGGAUGUAUACAAGUAGUUUUGUAUGCAAGAAUCAGCUGUUGAAGCCUACAAGUUAUGCAGGUCCAGUGAAUUCAGUGGAGAUCCUUCUGACUGACAGCAGCAUCCAGGCACCUACUGACAGAGAAUCCUGGUGAAGAGACCAGGGGAGUUAAACCAAUACAGAUCUGACAACCUGUAAGACUGGACAGAACAAAGUGACCACCAAAAGCGGGACUUUGUGGGCCAGUUGGAUAAAACAUAAGCUCAUCUCGCCCCCAAAACCCCGACUCUGGAACCACAACCUUCCAAGAUUCAAUUUGUAAGUAAAGUAUCUUUGUAAGAUAUGCCCAAUCAACUGAGUCAUUGCUUACAGAGUGGGUAAUUUUCAGACUAAUAAAAAGAGAAUAUUGUAGCCAAGUCACAAUACACAGUCCUUCAUUUUCUGGACAGCGGGAAUUACUAAGAGAUACUAUUUGUUUUUAUUCAUAUUUUAUGAUUUAUUUAUCAGGCAGGUAAGAAGUACCUCCUCUAAGUGUCUAUAAAAUGACAUGGAACUCCCCAGAAUAACAGUUAUUUAUUAGACCCAGCACUCAAACUAUCUAUUAAGACUUCUUCUCAAAGCGGGUAACAAAUUAUUGUGUAUCUCUUCCACUGUGUCAGACUAAAGUUGACACAUUAUAGAGAAAUGUUUGUCAAUAGUCUAAAUUUUUUAUUUGUAUGAUAAACUAGAAAAUAUUUUCACUUUACUUGAAACAAGUCUUUUCCCAUUAACAAUGGUAGUUUCAAGUAUUCAGCUGUGUGUCUACCACCCUCAGUAUGAUGUUUCUUAAGAACUUCUUUCCAAGGUGAGAGGAAACAGAUUCAUGGACAAAAGGAAUGUGUUUUCUAAAUCCUCACUUUAUAAUUCCAACAGAACUUCUAAAUAAAAUCCAAGUUUAAAAGCAUUAUAGUUUACACUUGGAUGGCUGGAGUAGGUAAAUGCUGUCAGUUACUUUAAAAGAAACUAAUUACUGUGCUUGAAAAGCCAC